GAAAUGCGAUAAGUAAUGUGAAUUGCAGAAUUCAGUGAAUCAUCGAAUCUUUGAACGCACAUUGCGCCCGCCAGUAUUCUGGCGGGCAUGCCUGUUCGAGCGUCAUUUCAACCAUCAAGCCCCCGGCUUGUGUUGGGGACCUGCGGCUGCCCGCAGGCCCUGAAAAACAGUGGCGGGUUCGCUGUCACACCGAGCGUAGUAGCAUACAUUCUCGCUCAGGGCGUGCUGCGGGUUCCGGCCGUUAAACGACCUUCAUAACCCAAGGUUGACCUCGGAUCAGGUAGGAAGACCCGCUGAACUUAAGC
rnacentral:misc_RNA from 1 species